rnacentral:rRNA from 1 species
UACGGGGGGGGCAAGCGUUGUUCGGAAUUACUGGGCGUAAAGGGCUCGUAGGCGGCCAACUAAGUCAGACGUGAAAUCCCUCGGCUUAACCGGGGAACUGCAUCUGAUACUGGAUGGCUUGAGUUCGGGAGAGGGAUGCGGAAUUCCAGGUGUAGCGGUGAAAUGCGUAGAUAUCUGGAGGAACACCGGUGGCGAAGGCGGCAUCCUGGACCGACACUGACGCUGAGUGAGCGAAAGCCAGGGGAGCAAACGGG